GACGAACGCUGGCGGCGUGCUUAACACAUGCAAGUCGAACGGAAAGGCCCUGCUUUUGUGGGGUGCUCGAGUGGCGAACGGGUGAGUAACACGUGAGUAACCUGCCCUUGACUUUGGGAUAACUUCAGGAAACUGGGGCUAAUACCGGAUAGGAGCUCCUGCUGCAUGGUGGGGGUUGGAAAGUUUCGGCGGUUGGGGAUGGACUCGCGGCUUAUCAGCUUGUUGGUGGGGUAGUGGCUUACCAAGGCUUUGACGGGUAGCCGGCCUGAGAGGGUGACCGGCCACAUUGGGACUGAGAGACGGCCCAGACUCCUACGGGGGGCAACAGUGGGGAAUAUUGCACAAUGGGCGGAAGCCUGAUGCAGCAACGCCGCGUGCGGGAUGACGGCCUUCGGGUUGUAAACCGCUUUCGCCUGUGACGAAGCGUGAGUGACGGUAAUGGGUAAAGAAGCACCGGCUAACUACGUG
rnacentral:rRNA from 1 species